rnacentral:rRNA from 1 species
CUUGAGGAGUGGCUUCCGGAGCUAACGCGUUAAAUCGACCGCUGGGGAGUACGGCCGCAAGGUUAAAACUCAAAUGAAUUGACGGGGGCCCGCACAGCGGUGGAGCAUGUGGUUUAAUUCGAUGCAACGCGAAGAACCUUACCUACUCUUGACAUCCAGAGAAUUUAGCAGAGAUGCUUUAGUGCCUUCGGGAACUCUGAGACAGGUGCUGCAUGGCUGUCGUCAGCUCGUGUUGUGAAAUGUUGGGUUAAGUCCCGCAACGAGCGCAACCCUUAUCCUUUGUUGCCAGCACAUUAUGGUGGGAACUCAAAGGAGACUGCCGGUGAUAAACCGGAGGAAGGUGGGGAUGACGUCAAGUCAUCAUGGCCCUUACGAGUAGGGCUACACACGUGCUACAAUGGCGUAUACAAAGAGAAGCGACCUCGCGAGAGCAAGCGGAACUCAUAAAGUACGUCGUAGUCCGGAUUGGAGUCUGCAACUCGACUCCAUGAAGUCGGAAUCGCUAGUAAUCGUAGAUCAGAAUGCUAUGGUGAAUACGUUCCCGGGCCUUGUACACACCGCCCGUCACACCAUGGGAGUGGGUUGCAAAAGAAGUAGGUAGCUUAACCUUCGGGAGGGCGCUUACCACUUUGUGAUUCAUGACUGGGGUGAAGUCGUAACAAGGUAACCA